ACACAGGUCUUCAUCCCACCGCUGACCUGCGGGACACCGCUUGCCCUCGCCUUGACCUUCACACUGGCAUUCACCUGAAGGAGGAUAAGAUUACACCAGACCUUAUCAGACAUUGCUCUGGCACAUCUGGCAGCCUUGGUCUUGUGGUCCAGUUUCCAGCCUGGAUCACAGCUGUCUUCUGUGAGUCCAUUUCGACAAACACACUCACAGGUGGACUCCUGCAGAACCCUGUUGGGUCCACAGAGGACCAGCAGACCCGAGUCCAGUGCUUCUGGAACCCACAUAUAAAAGUAACGCAGAGAAAAAAGAUUUCUGUUUUUCAGUUACAAGGAAUAAACGGCAUUAGGAGGAAACGCACAUUCUAGUCUUUCCCGGAUGGAUGGAUGAAGUAUUUGGCUGUUGGAAUUUGUUCCGAGGUUAUUUUUACUCUCCACACCGCAGGGGGUCCCACCAAACUCUGCAGUGAUCUGCUGCGGCCCGUCUUAUGAUGGAGUGGAGUGGCCUUUUGGAGAGGCAUUCGCAUGAAGUGUGGUUGAUGAAGGUCACCAUGACGCGAUCCAUCCUGGGUGGGGACAGUUCCAUCAGCUAACAAGAUGAGAAGAAGAUUAGUGUCCAGGAGGAGUCCCAUUGCUGCCGGGUGGGUUGUUACAAACAGUAACUGGGUUCUGUUCUCUUUCCUGAGGCCUUUUUAAGGUGUAAGGGUAGAAAAUACCGAUGCAGCGGUGUAAUGGAGAAGAAUAAUUAAAGGGGUUUAAAAAAAACAAAAAACAAGAAGGAAAAUCCAGCUGCGUCACUUACU